rnacentral:rRNA from 1 species
CUUGCGGUUAUAGAGCUCUUUCGGCUGGGAAGAAAUCGCACAGGCUAAUACUCUGUGUGGAUGACGGUACCAGCAUAAGAAGCACCGGCUAACUACGUGCCAGCAGCCGCGGUAAUACGUAGGGUGCGAGCGUUAAUCGGAAUUACUGGGCGUAAAGCGUGCGCAGGCGGUUGUGCAAGACAGAUGUGAAAUCCCCGGGCUCAACCUGGGAACUGCAUUUGUGACUGCACGACUAGAGUACGGCAGAGGGGGGUAGAAUUCCACGUGUAGCAGUGAAAUGCGUAGAGAUGUGGAGGAAUACCGAUGGCGAAGGCAGCCCCCUGGGCCGAUACUGACGCUCAUGCACGAAAGCGUGGGGAGCAAACAGGAUUAGAUACCCUGGUAGUCCACGCCCUAAACGAUGUCAACUAGUUGUUGGUAGGGUUAAACCUAUUAGUAACGUAGCUAACGCGUGAAGUUGACCGCCUGGGGAGUACGGUCGCAAGAUUAAAACUCAAAGGAAUUGACGGGGACCCGAACAAGCGGUGGAUGGUGUGGAUUAA